UACGUAGGGUGCGAGCGUUAAUCGGAAUUACUGGGCGUAAAGCGUGCGCAGGCGGUUAUAUAAGACAGGUGUGAAAUCCCCGGGCUUAACCUGGGAAUUGCAUUUGUGACUGUAUAGCUGGAGUGCGGCAGAGGGGGAUGGAAUUCCGCGUGUAGCAGUGAAAUGCGUAGAUAUGCGGAGGAACACCGAUGGCGAAGGCAAUCCCCUGGGCCUGCACUGACGCUCAUGCACGAAAGCGUGGGGAGCAAACAGG
rnacentral:rRNA from 1 species